GUACGGGAAAUAUCCUAGUGGUAUUUCUAGUGCCGGACGGGUGAGUAACGCGUAAGAACCUCCCCUUAGGAGGGGGACAACAGCUGGAAACGGUUGCUAAUACCCCAUAGGCUGAGGAGUAAAAGGAGGAAUCCGCCUAAGGAGGGUCUUGCGUCUGAUUAGCUAGUUGGUAAGGUAAUGGCUCACCAAGGCAACGAUCAGUAGCUGGUUUGAGAGGAUGAUCAGCCACACUGGGACUGAGACACGGCCCAGACUCUUACGGGAGGCAGCAGUGGGGAAUUUUCCGCAAUGGGCGAAAGCCUGACGGAGCAAUGCCGCGUGGAGGUAGAAGGCUCACGGGUCGUAAACUCCUUUUCUCAGAGAAGAUGAGAUGACGGUAUCUGAGGAAUAAGCAUCGGCUAACUCUGUG
rnacentral:rRNA from 1 species